AGAGUUUGAUCCUGGCUCAGAUUGAACGCUGGCGGCAGGCCUAACACAUGCAAGUCGAGCGGCAGCGGGAAAGUAGCUUGCUACUUUUGCCGGCGAGCGGCGGACGGGUGAGUAAUGCCUGGGAAAUUGCCCAGUCGAGGGGGAUAACAGUUGGAAACGACUGCUAAUACCGCAUACGCCCUACGGGGGAAAGCAGGGGACCUUCGGGCCUUGCGCGAUUGGAUAUGCCCAGGUGGGAUUAGCUAGUUGGUGAGGUAAUGGCUCACCAAGGCGACGAUCCCUAGCUGGUCUGAGAGGAUGAUCAGCCACACUGGAACUGAAACACGGUCCAGACUCCUACGGGAGGCAGCAGUGGGGAAUAUUGCACAAUGGGGGAAACCCUGAUGCAGCCAUGCCGCGUGUGUGAAGAAGGCCUUCGGGUUGUAAAGCACUUUCAGCGAGGAGGAAAGGUUGAUGCCUAAUACGUAUCAACUGUGACGGUUACUCGCAGAAGAAGCACCGGCUAACUCCGUGCCAGCAGCCGCGGUAAU
rnacentral:rRNA from 1 species